rnacentral:rRNA from 1 species
GGCAGCAGUAGGGAAUAUUCCACAAUGAGCGAAAGCUUGAUGGAGCGACACAGCGUGCACGAUGAAGGUCUUCGGAUUGUAAAGUGCUGUUAUAGGGAAAGAACACCUGGUUGAGGAAAUGCUUCCAGGCUGACGGUACCCUGUCAGAAAGCGAUGGCUAACUAUGUGCCAGCAGCCGCGGUAAUACAUAGGUCGCAAGCGUUAUCCGGAAUUAUUGGGCGUAAAGCGUUCGUAGGCUGUUUAUUAAGUCUGGAGUCAAAUCCCAGGGCUCAACCCUGGCUCGCUUUGGAUACUGGUAAACUAGAGUUAGAUAGAGGUAAGCGGAAUUCCAUGUGAAGCGGUGAAAUGCGUAGAUAUAUGGAAGAACACCAAAGGCGAAGGCAGCUUACUGGGUCUAUACUGACGCUGAGGGACGAAAGCGUGGGGAGCAAACAGGAUUAAAUACCCUGGUAGUCCACGCCGUAAACGAUGAUCAUUAGUCGGUGGAGAGUUCACUGACGCAGCUAACGCAUUAAAUGAUCCGCCUGAGUAUUAUGCUCGCAAGAGUGAAACUUAAAGGAAUUGACGGGGACCCGCACAAGCGGUGGAGCAUGUGGUUUAAUUUGAAGAUACGCGGAGAACCUUACCCACUCUUGACAUCCUUCGCAAUGCUAUAGAGAUAUAGCGG